AUGUAGGGCAACCUAUCUUUAAGUAGGGAUAAAUUAAAAGAAAUGAAUCUUAGUUUUCCCUUCAGGUCAUGCAUUUUGC
rnacentral:pre_miRNA from 1 species